rfam:Triticum aestivum genome assembly, contig: Triticum_aestivum_CS42_TGACv1_scaffold_450220_5DL
UUUCUACUCCCUCCAUCCGAAAAUACUUGUCAUCAAAAUGGAUAAAAAGAGAUGUAUCUAAAACUAAAAUACGUCUAGAUACAUUUCCUUUUAUCCAUUUUGAUGACAAGUAUUUUCGGACGGAGGGAGUAUUUG